CGGAUUGUAAACUAAAGCUGUCGAGUAGUUUGGCUAGCCCGGUAAAUAAGUUCUCUGGAAAGGGACGACAAAGAGGGUGAAAUCCCCGUUUUUGGCCGGAGCAUAGUCUUGCGUUUGCUUGGUAGCGAAGAGUCAGGUUGUUUGGUAUUGCAGCCUAAAGUUGGAGGUAAAUCUCUCCUAAAGCUAAAUAUUGACGAAAGACCGAUAGCGAACAAGUACCGUGAGGGAAAGAUGAAAAGCACCUUGAAAAGGGGGUCAAAAAGUACGUGAAAUUGCUGAAAGGGAACGGUAUGAAAUCAGACUGUCUCUUUGGUAAUCAGCCUGGGCUUCGGCCUGGGUGCACUUGCCAGUGAGUACAGCCUACGACAAUUUGAAGCGUAGGAAAAAAUCAGGGGGAAUGUGGCCUUGGCUUCGGCGGAGGUGUUAUAGCCCUUUGAAAAAUACUAUGCUUUGGAUUGAGGACUGCAGCGGGCCAUUAGGGAUGAACUAUGGGCGCUUAAUCUUUGUAAGGGGGGAAUCUCUACUUCGGGUAGUGCUCUUCUUAGAGAGGUUAACUCGCCUAUUUUUUCUUUUUCUCGCUUAGGUCGUAGGCCUAAUGAUUUUAUAUCACCCGUCUUGAAACACGGACCAAGGAGUCCACCAUGAUUGCGAGUCUUUGGGUGUAGAAACCCAUAGGCGAAAGGAAACUGACCGAGAUAUGAAGGCUGUCAAAGGCUGGCAAUAUCCUCCAGCGAGGACGUUUUUAUACUGAAUUGACUGAGAGAAAGCAAUUAUGAUGGGACCCGAAAGAUGGUGAACUAUACUUGAAUAGGGGUGAAGCCAGAGGAAACUCUGGUGGAAGCUCGUAGCGAUUCUGACGUGCAAAUCGAUCGUCAAAUUUGAGUAUAGGGGCGAAAGACUAAUCGAACCAUCUAGUAGCUGGUUCCUGCCGAAGUUUCCCUCAGGAUAGCAGAAACUCACAAAGCAGUUUUAUGGGGUAAAGCGAAUGAUUAGAGGCCUUGGGGGCGAAAUGCCCUUUACCUAUUCUCAAACUUUAAAUAUGUAAGACGCUCUUCUUUCUUAAUUGAAGUUGGGCCUUGAAUG
rnacentral:rRNA from 1 species